UAGAUGUCGCUGCUGGAGAAUGUGUAAUUCUGUUUAUUCAUCUGGAUACUGGACGUAUAAAUCUAAUACAUUUUGAAGCUACAAGAAUUCUCCUCCUCCAUGGGCCUGUUACUUUGACGAUAAAAGACCAGGAGACAGCCUACAAUGAUGUUUUCCACGUUCCUGGAUUCUCACUGUGGUUCCUGCAUCAAGCUCAGUCACACCUGCACAAAGUUACGAGCCGUGGACAAUGAUAUGGUACAUGACAAAAACAGUUUCUUAUAAACCCUCCAUACUCUGU